UACGUAGGGUGCGAGCGUUAAUCGGAAUUACUGGGCGUAAAGCGUACGCAGGCGGCUUUGCAAGACAGGUGUGAAAUCCCCGGGCUUAACCUGGGAAUGGCGAUGGAGACUGCAAGGCUAGAGUUUGGCAGAGGGGGGUAGAAUUCCACGUGUAGCAGUGAAAUGCGUAGAGAUGUGGAGGAACACCGAUGGCGAAGGCAGCCCCCUGGGUCAAGACUGACGCUCAUGCACGAAAGCGUGGGGAGCAAACAGG
rnacentral:rRNA from 1 species